rnacentral:lncRNA from 1 species
GCAAAACUAAUAAACAGUCUCGAGCAACAAAAUCAAGAAAAAUUGGUCGUUAAAUCACAUAAUGGUAUAUAAAACAAUGUUUCUGCCACAAAGCUCCAUUAUUCAUGACACAUUGACACUAAUGACCUCUUAACUCUUCCUUGAGAUUCAAUAACAAUAAUGUGGUCUGAAAUCAACACUAUACCUCCUACACUAAUGACAAAGCACCAUUGACUCCUUCCCAGUAAUUAAUGGAAUUUGAUAUAAAUCAUUAAGCCUCUAAUCAGCAACACUAGCUAUUCUAAUAACAUUUAGCUUUUAUAGUAGUUGUUAGCUAAAAGUUAAGGGAGGUAGCUUUUGAUGAACCACUAUUUAAUCACUCCAUACAGUGUUCUAACUGGGUUAAAACACUAAAACUAAUUAAAAAUGUAGAAAUAUAAUAUUUUAUUGUUAUUCUCAAUAGAGAUUACAACUUAUUUAUAAGUGAGAGACCGUAUCUAAACAGGAAGGAAAAUAAAAUCUAUGAUUAUACAAUCCUAAGAUUAAGUAACUGAUUCAUCUAUCAAUAUCUACUACCUAUAUUAACAUAUUUACUUCCUAUAACUUAUAACACUCCCCCCUAAAGUUGGAACAUAAAUGUUAAUAAUGCCCAACUUGUUAUAUAUAUAAUCAAUUUCAGCCAUAAGAACAAUCAACCCAAAACAAUCAAAAUAAACAAAGGAACAGAACCCGUGAAUAGUAGCCGUGAACAGUUUCCGUGAACAAUACCUUAUGAACAGUGCCCGAUAUCUUCAAAUGUUACCCUUUAUGGAUAACCCAAAUGCACAGAAUCCUAAAUCUCUAAAUGUUACCCUUUAUGCGUAAUCCCGAUGAACAGAGCCUUAAUUCUCCAAAUGUUACUCUUAUGGAUAACCCAAAUGAAUAGAGUUCUAAGUCUCCAAAUGUUACCCUUUAUGGAUAAGCCGAUGAACAUAGCCCUAAGUCUCCAAAUGUUACCUUUAUAGAUAACCUAAAUGAACAGAAUUCUAAAUCUCCAAAUGUUACCCUUUAUGGGUAACCCGAUGAACAGAGCCCUAAGUCUCCAAAUGUUACCCCUUUAUGGAUAACCCAAAUGAAUAGAGUCCUAAAUCUCCAAAUGUUACCCUUUAUGAGUAAUCCAAUGAACAGAGACCUAAGUCUCCAAAUGUUAUCCUUUAUGAAUAACCCAAAUGAACAGAGCCAUAAGUCUCCUAAGUCUCCAAAUGUUACCCAGGGUAACCCAAAAUAAACAGUGUCCUAAAUUUCCAGAUGUUACCCUUUAUGGAUAACCCGGAUGAACAGAACCCUAAGUCUCCAAAUGUUACUCUAAGUCUUCAAAUGUUACCUUUUAUGAGUAACCCAAAAUGAACAGAGCCUGAGCCUCCAAAUGUUACCCUUUAUGGGUAACCCAAAAUCACGUUUUACCUGUCUCAACAGCAGAUCUAACAAGCGGGUUGCAAGGCAACUAAGCGCCUCCACCUAACAUCCAAACGGCAAAUGAACCACAAAUCUGAUAAGCGGGUUGCAAGGCAACUUCGGCGUCCUCUCUAGGUGAACGAUGGGAGACAAAUAUUACCCUAGAUGGGUAACACAAAAGAACAGGAGUCCUAAGUCUCCAAAAAUUUUAAAAUUUGACGAGAGAGAGAAAUUAAAUAUCUACGAGAAUAGCUCUGAUACCAUGUAGAAAUAUAAUAUUUUGUUGUUAUUCUCAAUAGAGAUUACAACUUAUUUAUAAGUGAGAGACCGUAUCUAAACAGGAAGGAAAAUAAAAUCUAUGAUUAUACAAUCCUAAGAUUAAGUAACUGAUUCAUCUAUUAAUAUUUACUUCCUAUAUUAACAUAUUUACUUCCUAUAACUUAUAACAAAAAAGUUGUCACCAAACAAGGCCUAAAUGAUUACUUAAAGAAAUGAAUUCCUGGCUUCCACAAUCAUAGAUUAUGCUAUGGAUCAGUCAUAUUCAUUUUUAGAAUGUCCACAAGCAACCUAUGAAACAUAGCCACAGUCCAUUUCUCAUCCAUCAAAAUUCCAAUGGAAGCCUCAACACAACACAGUUCUAUUGCAAGACUUGCAAUUAUCCAUAUAGAUGGGUACAACUAGGACAGGGCAAUAAUAUUGAAA